rnacentral:SRP_RNA from 1 species
AGUCGGGUCCCGUGCGGCGGAUGCUGUUGAACCUGGUCAGGUCCGAAAGGAAGCAGCCAUAAGGCAGAUGUUCCGGGUGCCACGGGGGUGCCUGGCUCUC